rnacentral:rRNA from 1 species
AGAGUUUGAUCCCGGCUCAGAAUCAACGCUGGCGGCGCGCCUAACACAUGCAAGUCGAACGAGAACGGGUAGCAAUACCUUAGUAAAGUGGCGUACGGGUGAGUAACACGUGGAUGAUCUACCUUCUAGUGGGGAAUACCGUUGGGAAACCGACGACAAUACCGCAUAAGCUCGAGAGAAGAAAGCAGCAAUGCGCUGGAAGAGGAGUCCGCGGUCGAUUAGUUAGUUGGCAGGGUAAAGGCCUACCAAGACUGUGAUCGAUAGCCGGCCUGAGAGGGCACACGGCCACACUGGCACUGAAACACGGGCCAGACUCCUACGGGAGGCACCAGUGGGGAAUAUUGCACAAUGGGGGAAACCCUGAUGCAGCGACGCCGCGUGAGCGAUGAAGCCCUUCGGGGUGUAAAGCUCUUUCGGCAGGGACGAUUAUGACGGUACCUGCAGAAGCAGCUGCGGCUAACUACGUGCCAGCAGCCGCGGUAAUACGUAGGCAGCAAGCGUUGUUAGGAAUUACUGGGCGUAAAGGGUGCGUAGGCGGCUUUUUAAGUUUGUUGUGAAAUCUCCCGGCUCAACUGGGAGGGUGCGGCGAAUACUGAGAAGCUAGAGUGUGGAGAGGAAAGUGGAAUUCCUGGUGUAGCGGUGAAAUGCGUAGAUAUCAGGAGGAACACCGGUGGUGUAAACGGCUUUCUGGACCAUAACUGACGCUGAGGCACGAAAGCGUGGGUAGCAAACAGGAUUAGAUACCCUGGUAGUCCACGCCCUAAACGAUGCAUAUUUGGUGUGGGCCAUUCAUUUGGUCCGUGCCGGAGCUAACGCGUUAAAUAUGCCGCCUGGGGAGUACAGUCGCAAGGCUGAAACUCAAAGGAAUUGACGGGGGCCCGCACAAGCGGUGGAGCAUGUGGUUUAAUUCGACGCAACGCGAAGAACCUUACCUGGGCUCGAAAUGCUUACGACCAUCUUUGGAAACAGAGACUUCCCGCAAGGGACGUGAGUAUAGGUGCUGCAUGGCUGUCGUCAGCUCGUGUCGUGAGAUGUUGGGUUAAGUCCCGAAACGAGCGCAACCCUUGUCCUGUGUUGCCAUCAUUAAGUUGGGAACUCGCAGGAAACCGCCAGGGAUAACCUGGAGGAAGGUGGGGAUGACGUCAAGUCCUCAUGGCCUUUAUGUCCAGGGCUACACACGUGCUACAAUGGACGGUACAAAGCGCUGCCAACCCGUG